UCAGCAUCAACUGAUCUGACA
rnacentral:piRNA from 1 species